rnacentral:rRNA from 1 species
AGGACGAACGCUGGCGGCGUGCUUAACACAUGCAAGUGGAGCGACGAACCAGGCUUCGGCCUGGGGCAGAGCCGCGAACGGGUGAGUAACACGUGGGUAACGUGCCCCGAUGACUGGGACAACCCGGGGAAACCCGGGCUAAUACCGGAUAUCGCCCCCUCACGCGAGUGAGGUGUGUAAAGGAAGCUUCGGCCUCCGCAUCGGGAUCGGCCCGCGGCCCAUUAGCUUGUUGGUGAGGUAACGGCUCACCAAGGCAACGAUGGGUAGCUGGUCUGAGAGGACGAUCAGCCACACUGGGACUGAGACACGGCCCAGACUCCGUACGGGAGGCAGCAGUGGGGAAUCUGCGCAAUGCGCGAAAGCGUGACGCAGCAACGCCGCGUGGGGAAGAAGGCCUUCGGGUGUAAACCCCGUUUCAGUUGGACGAAGGUCGGACGGUUAAUACGCCGUUCCGUCUGACGUACCUUCACGAAGAACGCCCGACUAACUACGUGCCAGC